GUAGGGGACAAGCGUUAUCCGGAUUUACUGGGCGUAAAGCGCAUGUAGGUGGCCUAGCAAGUUGGAUGUGAAAGCUCCUGGCUUAACUGGGAGAGGUCAUUCAAAACUGCGAGGCUUGAGGAUGGAAGAGGAGAGCGGAAUUCCCGGUGUAGUGGUGGAAUGCGUAGAUAUCGGGAGGAACACCAGUGGCGAAAGCGGCUCUCUGGUUCGUGCCUGACACUGAGAUGCGAAAGCGUGGGGAGCGAACGGGAUUAGAUACCCCGGUAGUCCACGCUGUAAACGAUGGAUACUAGGUGUAGGAGGUCAUUAACCCCUUCUGUGCCGAAGCCAACGCGUUAAGUAUCCCGCCUGGGGACUACGGCCGCAAGGUUAAA
rnacentral:rRNA from 1 species